CUGACGAUUGCCAAAUCUGUAGUAUCCAAACAGCAAACGAGGGAUCAAACAACAAUGGAAGACUUAUGGAAGCGAGCGAAGACCUUCGCCGAAGAAGCGGCCAAGAAAUCCCAAACCCUAACCACCUCCGCCACGAUCACCGACCUAGUUUCCGAAACCGCCAAGCGAUCCCGUGAGUUCGCCGCCGAGGCGUCCAAGAAGGCUGACGAGAUCAAGACGGCGGCGCUUAAGCAGGCCGAUCAGAUCAAGUCCCUCAAUGUCUCCGAGAUGAUACCUCCCCAGCUCGCCUCGCUCUCGAUCGUCAACUCCGCCUCCGCCUCGUCCGCCCCUGAGCCGCCGUCGCCGUUGGAGCUCAAGAAGUUUGGUGUCACGACGAUCUCAGAGAUUUUGUCCAGGGACUCACUUCCGAUACCUUCAAGCAUUUUCCGGUCCAAGAUGCGGCGGAGGAGGUCUCCGAUGUGCCGACGACCGCAUCGAAUGUAAGGAAAGAUCUGACGGAGUGGCAGGAGCGGCAUGCGACUUUGGUGCUUACUACUGUCAAGGAAAUUUCAAGGCUGAGGUAUGAGUUGUGUCCGCGAGUUAUGAAAGAAAGAAGAUUCUGGAAGAUAUAUUUUACCCUUGUGAGCAGUCAUGUGGCUCCAUAUGAGAAGCAAUACAUGGAGGAAUUGAAGGUCGAGGAAGCAGAGAAACUAAAAGAUGAUAUUGUGAAGCCAACACCUCCUGUUGGAGGAACUGACAAAUCAGAAGGAUCUGAAAAGAACACAAAGCCUUUAGUUUCAAAAUCAUCGUCAGCUGAACAGGAAUUGGAUAGUUUCCUUUUGGGUGAUCUUGAAGACAGUGAUGGGGGUCCGGAUGAUCGUGAUGAUGGUGAUCGGAGCUUUGAUGAUGAUUUUGACAAGAUCGACAAUUCGGAUGUCGAAGAUGAGAAGCACGAGAAGAAAUGACAACUGCAACAGAAUAAAAUUGCUGCCAUGGAUAAUAUGAAGGAGAAAGCAAAACUAGCUUCUGUAAGACUAACAAAUAGAUCGAGGUAAACCCGAAGCGAAAGACGUCAAGCAGUAUUUAUUUCUUUAUCUCACAUUUUUUUCAUUUUUAAGUUGUAGAGUUGAUUACUUUGUAAAACUUGAAGUGGGACGCCAUAUGAAGUCAUCCGUUUGUUAUAUUUGCCGUAGACAGUGACGGGUAUUGGUACUCGUUUGCCUACAAAUGGGUCGACCCGGUUGCUUUGUUCUUGUACAGAUGACCUGAUUAUUAUGUUAAAUAAUAAAUAUGGUUCUUAUUGUUUAA